AGAAUGACUCUCGGCAACGGAUAUCUAGGCUCUUGCAUCGAUGAAGAACGUAGCGAAAUGCGAUACUUGGUGUGAAUUGCAGAAUCCCGUGAACCAUCGAGUCUUUGAACGCAAGUUGCGCCCGAGACCAUUAGGUUGAGGGCACGUCUGCCUGGGCGUCACAU
rnacentral:rRNA from 2 species